CACCUGGUGGAAGGCAGGGCCAAUCCAGGGGAGCUCAGAUGUAUGCAAUGUACAUGAGUGACCAGAAGGGCUGGAGCCAGGAUCCACCCUUUCCCAGACCUCAUUUAAGGGUUGGCAGUAGAGAUGAGAAUAUCUUGUUGGAGAUUCCUGUGUACCUGAGACCUUUUGAAGGCAUAUUACUCUCUGAGGCUUUCACUAGAUUGCUGCAGUGCAUGGAACUCCUUCUCACCACUUUUUCACCUAGGAAGGGGGAGUCUUUGUGGAUAACAACAAGGUUGCGGUGUCUCCUGGCUGCUGGAGUUGUGGUUGUUGGCUGACAGGGACCAUCAGAGAGGCAUCUGCCAGAGCUUCAGUUGUCCCACCUCCUCCGUAUUCAUCCAGAGGACAGUAUUUACAAGCAGUAUUUCCCAGUGACAAUUACUCCCUUUAUUUAUUGCUCCUCUCUCAUCCCCCUGUGGCAUCAUCAGUUCUAUAGAAACUACCAUACUGGUGAUAUCCUGACUACAGUGGGCAGAGGAAAGCACAGAAGAACGGUCAGGUUGCUGUCACCCACGAGGCAGAAAUUUCAAGGAAAUCUAAUCCUCACACACUUUCUCUCGAAAAGAGAUCCACUGGCAAAUUACUUCUGCUUUUAGAUAGACUUACAAGUUCCCAAUUGCUUAUCUGGUUAACACUGUCAGUCACUUAUACUGAGACACCAGGAAAUCUGAUUCCCACUGUUGGUGUGAGAGCAACCUGUAGGCACUUGACCUUUUUAAUGUUCUGUAAUUUGAUUGGGUGGCUGUUCUGUAUUUCCUUGUCACUAGCCCAGUAAUCUGAGAGGGAGAAGUGGAAAAGACAGCCAGUAAAGAUACAAGCAAUCACAAGCGGGAAUUUCUUGAGGCCUCAGGUUUCCAAAAUUACUCAAAGUAUCUUCCUCAUGUAGAGCUUGGAUGAAGCGUGGCUUGGCUCUUCAUCCUGGAAAUGGCACCUACAGGAGCCCUCUGCUCACACAGUGGCUGCUUGGCCAAAACUCGGUGCAAAGGCCAAUGCUGACUUAUGCCAUGUGAAGAUCUGUGCCUUUUCUGAUACAAUGGUGCAGAAGUUCAGUUCUUCAGGAUGCAUGUCCUAGAGAAACACCAGCAAGUGUUCAGCUGUGUUUUUAUAAAAUACCUUGGCAAAACUGGGCCUCCAACCGAGGAUCUGUAAUUUUAAUCUCUGGGGUGUGACUGAGUCAAUAUUCCAUAAGGACUGGAUCCAGGGAUGUUCCUGCUCAGCACAGGGUGUUGAAUGCAAACGUUUCAGUUGAGCCCUCUCUGAUAACCUUCUGAUUCCUAACUGAUAACCUAACUGAUUCCAGUUCUGGGGAUCCCAAUCAUCCUCAAAUCCCAUUUUAGGAUCCUAUCACCCAAACUAUCUUUUGAGGAGAUACUCCAAGUUUUGCAGCAUCACAUCCUUUCUCUGUUCUAUGCCAAUAAUUAGCUCUUUCAGUGACAGAACUUCCCAAAUUGUUUUGAAGAACUCUUUUUCUGAAAAAAUCAUUAUACCCAGGAGAUCCAGCUUAAAGGAUUCUUGGAAACUGUAGGAGAUAAGCUCCAAGUCAGGCUAAGACUUCGUUUGCUUGCAAUAUCUCAUGUUGAUAUUUUGCUCUCCUGAAGCUAAAGGUGAUGCUUCUUAUUUCCAUGCACACAUAUACAUACGAACUGCAGCUGAACACCCAGAUCCCUCCGACAACUAUAGGAUGUUGGAGAAUUUCAGCUCUUCCAGCCUUGGGUGAUGCCUGACCUGCCAGUACCUCUGAAUCAGUGCUGCCAAUGAAGAAAGGGGAAGUGACCAAUUCUCAAUGAAAUCAGUACCAUGUAAUUUUUGGACUGGAGCCACAGCUGGUGUUACCCUGGCUGACCAUCUUUUCCUGCUCGUCUGAUUGCUCUGUGUCUGAAAACAUUUCAUGGAAAAGCAAAGCAAAGUUCAGGACUUAUCAUGUACAAUAGAGCAUUAUAUAGUGAUCUCUGGGUGCUUAGGAGUCUUUCCAUUGAUUUCAGGGCUGUGGCUCAAACCUUUGAUCAGCAAAGUGGGACCAGUGCAGAGACGGGGAAGUUCUCCUGUGCUGUUGGCCCCAUGGAUUCCCUUGACUCAAACAAGGUCAAAACCUCAAUUUCCAUAGCUGUAAAAGGGUGAUAAGACUAUUUACUGCAAGAUGCCUGAGUACAAAGAGUGCCAAGGAUCAUCCUGACUAAUGACUAGGUGAUGUCACAGAGGAAGGAGUUGCAUAUAAUAAAAACAGGUUGUUUUUCACAUGGGUUCACUUGGGGUGCAAGCUGCAAGUAUGAGCUUGGGGGUUUACCCUUUGCUGUGUGAUUUUUAUGUAAAUAAAAGAGCAUGUUAGAUCACUACAUUCUAUAGAACAGGUGCCUUGGUGGAAUUGUUAUCACCAAGAUAGAAGGAAGCUCCCCGGAGGGAUGGGCAUGCCAAAUUCUCUUUGGUUCCCUCUGGAGUCGGAUGGACAGAGAGCAUCUCUCAGUGACAGAUGAAGCUGCUGGCAGACAGUUACCCAGCUUGUUUCUGUGGGUGGAUAUAGGAUGUGAGGAGAACAGGACUGCAUGCCAGUGGGCAGCCCCACCAUCCAAGAUUGACAAUCCUUUCUGCUAAGCCCUUUCAGUAAUUCUCAUGGCUGGUAGCAGUGUUUGGGUUUCAGGCAAUGGUGCCACAAAGCCACAGGCUCUCUUGUGAUGAUAACAUACUCAUCAACAAGCUGCUGCAGAGCAUAGCUCAUUCAGAUGGCUCUGGCCUUGCCUUCUCUGCAAGCAAGCUCUCCUCCUCUAGGAGUGGAUGCCAUUGCUCCUGUUGAGAUCAGGCACCAGACAGCAGCACACAGCCAUCAGCAUUCAAGUCCUGACAAGUCCUCUCAAUCUCCAGAACAAAAUAAUACACUAAUCCAGGCUGCAGAAACCAGAAGGAUAGGCUCUCUGUUUACUGAGAACAGCACAGGUCUCAGCAUAGGUCCAUUAAUUUGCCCUAAAUGUCUCUAAUUCAUGUAUUCUGUUUAUUUUUGUCUGCCUUUGUUUCUAAUUACAGUGUGGCUUUUGGUGGUUGGGUUUCAGUUUGCUUUUUUUUUUUUUCUUUUUACUCUUUCACAACAGUUUUAGCAGCCAUUUCUAUAGGAACGGUAUCUGGAGAGCUCUGGAAAUUGAUUGCCAGCAGAAACUGGGAGCUGGUUCAGUGAAGAAAACACAUCCAAGGAGAUUUCUCUGUGGGAUUUGCCCCUCAGAUUACAAUGUGGUGACCAUCUGCCUGCGGGAGAGGCCAUGUUCCUCACUCAGAGAUAUCUUCUCACUCACUGAUGAGAAGGACUUCACUUCCCCUCUCUGCUGACACAGGACAUACUGUGUAGUCUUGAGCCAGGAUGGAGCUCUUGAUCACUGCAGUAAUAUACAGUAAAUGUACCACUUUUCUCCAUAGAUUAAGCACAUCAGUGCUGUUGACCUGGCCAAAUGGCAAUCUUCAGAAGUUAUAUAAAAGAGAGACCUCUGAAAGCAGACUUGGAAAUCUCUUUGCAACCUGCCUUGAGCCGUGACUUACUGAUAUUUUUUUUUCCUGUCCAUAAAGCAGUGAAUUCUGCUAGAUCUGCACUGAAGUGAAGCGUAGAAGUGAGAAGAGAUUCUCUGGUGUUUGUAGAUCCCUUGGAAGGCAGCAUUUUCAAGUGUAAAUUCUCUAGUUAAGCUCUGCAGUGCUUCCGUUGUGUUUGAUUUACUGUGGAGGCUACUGAAAUCAACCAACCAUGACACUUGUAGUGUCUUCUGCCUAGGGAGAUGGUGGGGUCACUGUCUCUGCAGGUGUUCAGGGGAUGUGGCACUGAGGGGUAUUGUUAGUAGAUAUGGUGGGAACAGAUAGGGGUUGGACUUGGUGAUCUUAAAGGUCUUUUCCAGCCUCAAUAAUUUUUUAAUUCUAUGAAGAAUAUGAGGAUUGAGCAGGCAGUUUACCCUUCCUGAACUGAAUGUUGGUAGGUCCUCCAUCUUUUGCUCACAGUGUAACAGCAAGGCUGAUAAAGGAGAUUUGAAGAAAAGACUUUUCUGAGAAACAUGGUACGGCCUUUUAGCCCUAAGAGUUUCCACCAUUGCCAGCACUUCAAGUGAGAUUUACAACUAGCUGAAGGCUCAGCAAGACAAAAUGAGUCCUUACCAGCUGCUCUUAGCUCAUGUUACAACUCGCAGACUGAGUGCUGUGGUUUCAUAGGAGUUUGCAGUGGCUGCUGAUGCUUUCUGCACCUAAACUCAUGUAGUUUGUGCUUAUUCUGCUGAGAGCUGUGGAUCUGCAUACUGCACACUGUUCCAGUGUGCCCAGAGGGAAUGGAUGCUCUGAUAAGGAAAAAGUUUUGCUUUUGGAAGACUUUAUUUCUUCUGGAUUUUGCUGACUGGGAUCUCCUGCUCAAGCAUGAAGCCUGUCUGAGAACUUUUAUCAAUACUCCAGACAUAGUUCAUGUGA